GACGAACGCUGGCGGCGUGCUUAACACAUGCAAGUCGAACGGAAAGGCCCUGCUUUUGUGGGGUGCUCGAGUGGCGAACGGGUGAGUAACACGUGAGUAACCUGCCCUUGACUUUGGGAUAACUUCAGGAAACUGGGGCUAAUACCGGAUAGGAGCUCCUGCUGCAUGGUGGGGGUUGGAAAGUUUCGGCGGUUGGGGAUGGACUCGCGGCUUAUCAGCUUGUUGGUGGGGUAGUGGCUUACCAAGGCUUUGACGGGUAGCCGGCCUGAGAGGGUGACCGGCCACAUUGGGAAUGAGAUACGGCCCAGACUCAUACGGGAGGCAGCAGUGGGGAAUAUUGCACAAUGGGCGGAAGCCUGAUGCAGCAACGCAGCGUGCGGGAUGACGGCCUUCGGGUUGUAAACCGCUUUCGCCUGUGACGAAGCGUGAGUGACGGUAAUGGGUAAAGAAGCACCGGCUAACUACGUG
rnacentral:rRNA from 1 species